rnacentral:other from 1 species
ACAUCAGAUUCCCUGAUGUAACGAAUUUUUAAGUGCUUCUUGCGAAAGCAAGCUUCAUCCCGGUCAUUCCAUGACCGGGAUU